UACGUAGGGGGCUAGCGUUGUCCGGAAUCAUUGGGCGUAAAGAGCGUGUAGGCGGUCCGGUAAGUCCGCUGUGAAAGUCGGGGGCUCAACCCUCGGAUGCCGGUGGAUACUGUCGGGCUAGAGUGCGGAAGAGGCGAGUGGAAUUCCUGGUGUAGCGGUGAAAUGCGCAGAUAUCAGGAGGAACACCUAUUGCGAAGGCAGCUCGCUGGGACGUAACUGACGCUGAGACGCGAAAGCUAGGGGAGCAAACGGG
rnacentral:rRNA from 1 species